AUGAAUUCUUAUCAGUGAGUCUAUGUAUUUAAGAUGUUUCUUAUAGGAGUUUGUGAAAACUUAUGUUAAAAUGAAACCCAUUAUAUUUUGGUUGGCUUUACUUACAUUUCUUCAUAAUUUUUCAGGAUCAUCAUCAUAUAGAUGUUACGAUUGUCAACCAUGCUCUAACUCUGAUCCGAGAAAUGAAAAACAAGAUACAUGUGCGGGCUCCUGUGUUAAAUCUGAAAUUGAUAACAUAGUUUCAAGAACUUGUUCAAAGGUCAGCCUGAUACCAAAAUGUGAAAGUCAAGACGGUCUAACAGUGUGUGCGUGCGAUUCAGACUACUGUAACAGAUCUUCUGAGAAACAAAUACCUAUAGUUGGACUAUUCUAUACUUGUAUUAACUUUUUAUUGAUAAGAGUAAUAAAUCUUGUUUGAAUUUUGUGCUCGUGUGUAGAAUAUCAUUUUAGGUUUUCAACGGGUAGUUUACAUGUAAACUACAAACAAGCCGUGCUUUCUUUAUUGAUCAUUUUAGAAUGGCAGACGUAUUUCAAAAGUGUAAGAAUUACCUACUUACCGAAUCUAAAGAAAAUGUGUUUCUUCAGUAGCAUUUUCUACUUAUCAAUCAAAUUAUCGAAUUAGCAAAGAAACUGUGAAUUUAUCAACCAAACACUUAACUUCCUAGCUUAAUUGACUGCUGAUGAACUUGCAGGAUAUAUAUUAAAUUAAGCACUUGUUUUGAAAUCAGACAUUAAAAAUAAGGUAUAGAUUUUUUUUCAAAUGGUCAACUUAUUCUUCUUGACAGCAUUCUAUUUAUUAAGAUUCCAAUUUCCCUUACUAUGAUUU